UCUGGCGGUUGAGCUCGGGAGGAUUGCUUGCCUGUGUGCCCGCUUCUUCCUUCUAACGAUUUCUCUCGCUUGUGGCGUAGAUGGAGCUGGAUCUGGAUGGCGCCCAUGGUGAGUGAUCGCAUCUCUCCUUUGCUUGCUUGAUUGUUUUGCUGUGGAGCUUGGUUUUUCUUGCUUGGGUGCUUUCUUUCUCCUCUUUGCCGCAAGAAGGCGAAGAGCUCGACUAGAUUUCCCACGCCUCCAGCAGCCCACCGGACAAAGUCCGGCCCGACCUGGGGACAUCCUGGCUCGGGCGUUUUCCUUUGGAGGCGGCGCCUCCAAAUGGGACUCGUGGGUAAUUUGCAAGAGGGGGCUGCCGCGCUGGUGGAGGUACUCGGCGAGCGCCUCUACCAGGCUACCGUGGCGGCCUCCACAAAUUCCUUAAAUCUAAAGAAGCCUGCUCUUUUGUUGUUCUUACAAGGUCUCUCUUCUCCAAGUCCAAGAAAAUGGAUCUCUACUCCACGAUGAAGUGCUGGGGAUUCAAGCCAAAUGCCUUGAAGGCUUGUGCCGCUCUGGCAGCUCUCUCUCGAGGAUGGAUUGCUUGGAUCGGGCCAACGGCAGUGUAUUGGACCAAACCUCUUCGUCUCGUAGAAAUGUCCCAAGUUGGUGAUGGGGAGCGGCUCUCGAGGCUUUGUGAGAACUUUCACCGCCGCUUGCACGCGAGAAGAUGAAACUGAAAUCGAGGGGGUCUCAGCAUGAAAACUUAAUAAUUUAUUAAAUAAUUAGGUUUAAUAAUACUAAUUGAAAACCUCGUAUAUUAAA